AACAACACUUUGAUUUUCUCUACACACGUCUCUCUUUCCCUAUCUUCUGCCCGUUAUAAAAAAUACAAAAAAGUGCAAAAGGCAGCUAAUCAACUCUUUAUUUUUCUCUACAAAAAUCUCUCUUCUCUCUCACUCUCACUCUCUAUCCCAUCUUAGAAGUUACGACAUCCAAGAGCUCAUCGUCCCAAGUUCUUUGUUCUCUGGUUCCAAUGGUGUGAUCGAUGGAAAACAUCAUCCGAAGAUUGACUUCAUGUUCUACGUACACUUCUAACUAAGAAAAAUACUAUAGUACAAUAUUGUGGAAGAUCGAAGUAAUAAAUUAACUCAACAGCAAAAAAAAGACAAUAAAAGAAGAAAGGUGAAAAAAUGCCACAAGAAGUAAUGAGAGGAUUAAAGGGUUUGGUGGUGUCGUCCACAAGCAAUGGGGAUUAUGAGCUUGCACAACGAAAAGCUGAAGAAACAGCUGUGAGAAGGUACCAAGCGGUGGCAUGGCUGAGACAAAUGGACCAAGGCGCGACGGAGACACUGCCGGAAAAACC